rnacentral:hammerhead_ribozyme from 1 species
AUCCAGCUGACGAGUCCCAAAUGAGACGAAACGCGCGUCCUGGAU